AUGGUUCUUCAGCUAAACUCACUCAAGCACAACACACAGCGCUGCACUCGACCUGCUGUUAAAGUGGACUUCACAGCGGCUCUUUCGGAACGAGGCGACCUGAGUGGUGUCGUGGUGGGAGACGGUACAGCCGAACACCUCAGCCUCUUCCCAGCGUUCUUUGCUGAGGGUCAGGGUGCUGCUGCGGCUGUAGACGCCGUUCUUCUGUUCUUCUGUGCUGCAACUUCACCCACAGCUACCAUGACUUUCAUCCCCGUCUUCAUCUGGACACUGAUCCUCUGGACUCAAGAAUGCAGAGGUCAAGCCACAGUAACUCAGACUCCUGCAGUGAAAUCUGCUCUUCCAGGAGAAACAGUCACCAUCAACUGUAGAACCAGUCAGGCAGUGUAUCAUCACAGCUCAUAUGGUCACUACUUAUACUGGUAUCAGCAGAAACAUGGAGAAGCUCAUAAACUCCUGAUUAAGCUCGCAAAUCAGCGAGAGUCAGGUAUUCCAGCUCGUUUCAGUGGCAGUGGAUCUGGAUCUGAUUUCACUCUGACCAUCAGUGGAGUCCAGACUGAAGAUGCAGGAGAUUACUACUGUCAGAGUUUCCAUUACAUCAGUAGCACCAACCUGUUCACACAGUGUUAUAGAGUCGUACAAAAACCUCCCUCAGUCAGAUUGUAGAGAGACUGAACUGCUGCAGCUGGGAGAGACUGCAGGUGCUGAGUUGGAGGAUGUGAUACGACACAAUGUCACCCUGUGGAGGAGAGGAACCACACCACACUAACUCACAACUCACAUUAGAGAUCUCUCAAUAAUCAUCACAGCACACUGCACACAGUCCCUUACAUCCACUUUUUUUGUAGUUUUCUACAGUCAUGGUGAUUACUGUCACAAUAUCAUAAUUUUACAAAUAUUAAGUAUCUGAUUAUCAAAUUCAUUUCUGUUUCAUAUGAUUCUCCACACAUUCACUCCAAAUGUCCUGCUCACAAAGACUGGUUUUCAUACAGUUUUUUGUGUGCAUCUUUUCUUGCAGGCAUGGGUCUUGCAGCAAAAUCCAAUUACACCUCAUGAAAACACAUUCCAACUUAAUGGUCAGGUUUCCAUUUUUCUUGAUAUUGUCUUACUAAUAAGUGUUAGUUUUUUACUGAUGUUUGGACACACUGACUCACUGUGGUGUUUAACUCCAGAGUAUCAGAAAAUAUGAAAGGUAAAAUUAAUUCUUAUCAUAAUCUAUGGUUAG